rnacentral:rRNA from 1 species
AGUAAAUAGAUACCCAGGUAGUCCAUGCUGUAAACGAUGGAUGCUAGCUGUGAUGCGUAUCGACCCGCGUCGUAGCGAAGCUAACGCGUUAAGCAUCCCGCCUGUGGAGUACGGCCGCAAGGCUAAAACAUAAAGGAAUUGACGGGGACCCGCACAAGCGGUGGAGCGUGUUGUUUAAUUCGAUGGUAAGCGAAGAACCUUACCCAGGUUUGACAUCCUUGGAAGUUCUGCGAAAGCAGAGUGUGCCUUCGGGAACCAAGUGACAGGUGAUGCAUGGCCGUCUUCAGCUCGUGUCGUGAGACGUUAGGUUAAGUCCUUCAACGAGCGCAACCCUUAUAGUUAGUUGUAUUUUCUAGCUAGACUGCCCUGGUAACAGGGAGGAAGGAGGGGACGAUGUCAGGUCAGUAUCUCCCUUAUAUCUGGGGCUACAAACACGCUACAAUGGCCGGUACAAAGGGAAGCCAACCCGCGAGGGGAGCAAAUCCCAUCAAAGCCGGUCUCAGUUCGGAUUGUAGGCUGAAACUCGCCUGC